rnacentral:lncRNA from 1 species
GCGCAUUUUUUUGUGUAUUGAUUCAUUGUUUAUCUGACGUCCAGCGACAAAUAUGUCAUUGAAUGCUUAUUCAAAACUUUCUUAACAGGUUUAAUGUUUCUGAAACCCUCUCCCUCCCUUUUAUCUAUUAUUUGAGGCAGUUUGGGGGACUAGUUUGAAUGUUCUCUAUUCAGUACAUGGGACCUGGUGUCUUAGAACGAACGAUUAUAAUAGAAAAAAGGAUCAAUUUAUAUUGCACAUUUUCAAAUCAGAAAGAAUGGAUAGUGUGUUUCUAGGGACAUAGGAACAUGCAAGGAUAAAAAAUGCUGGCAUGCUUCUUUAUCAAUUUCGAUGGGCACAUACAAGGAUUAAUGAAACAUCCUUAAGUUCAUCCUUGCAUUUUUCUUUAUAUAUUUGUUUCAAUAUUUAUUUUGUUUGCACACUUUUUAUUAAAAAACAAAGACCCAUGCGCGAGAUCUAGAAGAAAAAACCCAUGCACAAUCAGUACAAUACUGUUGAUAAAGUUGCAGUAGGAACUGAUUUUUCUCUUUAUCUUGUCUAGAUUGUGGUGCACAUUCGCCUAUACAUUGUAUUUUUAUAUAUGUUGUUGUUUGCAAUUUGAUGAUAGUAUCAAGAAAAACGUAAAUAGCUGAGUGACAACUAUAGAACUACUUUUAUUUCCAUGAUGAACCAAAGUGAACAUAUAUAUACAUACAACUUUAAUAUUAAACCAGCAUAAAUUAAUGCUCGUGGUUUUAGUAUUAUUCAACUAGGAAAGUUUUCGCUAAAAUGGGCUAUCGAAAAUACAGCUGAACGGAUUAAUCCUGCGCUAAAAUGGGCUCUAAUGUCUGCGCUAAAAUGUCCCCUAGUAGUUUUGCGCUAAAAUUAUCUGCGCCCAUCUGUUUUCUUGUUCAUAGUUGAGAUUAAAUUUCUUUUUGUUUAUGAAAUUGGCAAAUUUGAUUAAAUUAAUUUUAUUGUGGUUAAUUUUGAAUUUGCUUUCAACUGUUGAUUCUUUUACCAUUUAAUACAGGCGAUGAAACAAACGAUUCAACUAAUAAAAAUUUUAUUUUCGGAAAUUAUCAAAAGCGGAUAAAAGAAUAAGCCCUUGACAUGCACCAUUUGCGAGUAUAAUGGUCUUGUGAAACAAUGAUAGUCCGUCGGAAGGGGGCGAUAAAUGACUGACCCGUGUUUUAUUAAGAGAGAGCAAUAUCUCUUGCACAUAAAAGUCACCCUUUUAUAUUUCGAAAAGAGCAGGCUAAGGCUACAAGGAAGCACUCGCACCCUCAAAGUGGAAACGGAUUAAUAUAAGUUGUAAUAACUUGUUUCCGAAUCCACUAUAAAUAAAUAUGUUUAAACUAAAAGAAAAAGCAGCAGAAAAGACAGUGGUUUAAACUUUUUUUUUAAAUAUCCUGUUUCAAUCAAAAGAAAGAG